rnacentral:rRNA from 1 species
UACGAAGGGGGCGAGCGUUGUUCGGAAUUACUGGGCGUAAAGGGCGCGCAGGCGGCUCUGAAAGUCAGAUGUGAAAGCCCCGGGCUUAACCUGGGAAUUGCAUUUGAUACUCUGGAGCUUGAGUGUGGGAGAGGAGAGUGGAAUUCCCAGUGUAGAGGUGAAAUUCGUAGAUAUCGGAAGGAACACCUGUGGCGAAAGCGGCUCACUGGACCACAACUGACGCUGAUGCACGAAAGCUAGGGGAGCAAACAGG